GGGCGGCCAUCCAUGCCCCUGGCGCCCUACAAGGCCGCUCCCUCCCUCCUCCUGAACCCUAGCCCCACUCAUUUUUUCCCUCGCCCUCUCCCUCGCAUCUCACUCUCAAUCCCGAGCUCGCCGUCGACACGCCAUCGCCUUUAACGCGCUCUUGAAGCACCCCGAGCCACGCGGGCUUGUCCACCAAGACCUCCACGGUUGGCUACUUCUCCUACGACCGUCGAAUCAAGCGGACUCCAUGGCGUCAUCGGGAUCGCCGUCUUCUUCUUCCUCCGGACGUCGAGCUCCGCCGCUUCGAUCCGUCUCCGCCAAGGCUUCCCCGAGCCUGCUGACUAGCCCGUUGUCCCCGCAGUGAGCUCCUCCUCCAUCCCCCCCUGUUUUCCCCCUCGAUUCGUUGCGGUAGCCUCCGUCCCCGAGCUCGCGCGUACGCGUACGUAUGUACGUGCGUACUGUUCCUGCUCCUGCGCUGUUGCUGCCGCUGCUAUGCGCGUGCGCCCGUAUGUUGUUGCCUUGCCGCGAUUGCUGUUGCUCACCAACCGUUGUGGCUGCUCGCUGAUUCGCUACUCUGCUCCCUGGCGCGACAGCGCUGCUUGCUGUUGCCGCCGCUGCUUGUUCUGCCUAGAACUGCUGCUACCCACUUCUGCUGCUCCCGAUGCUCAUAGUCGCUGCUGCCGCUUCUUAUUACUGCUGCCGCUGCUCGGCGACCCACGGCCUUCUGCGCGCACUCGACAUACUGUGCUUCGUCCAUGACCGGCCGGGCAUGCGUGCACAUAAGCAUCCAGCGUCCUGCACAUGCAUUGCUUGCUCCUGUGUGCGCCUACAGCCAGCCAACACUUUUGAUUAGUACCAGCAUUUGUUUAGUGGGAGGUAAACUUAGUAGUCCCAAUGACGAGUGGCCCCAUCACUUAAUUAAGCUAUAGGAACAAUUCUAUUUUAACAUGUGACAAUGACAUGCGGACCCACUUCUACUAUUCACUGGUUGACUAGUCCCUGUUGACUUGGUCAACUGGGGCCUCUGGCCCCAUCUGGCAACCACAUGUACAUAAUGCUGGGUACACUUCUGUGUACCCGUAGCAUUUACUGUUUAUUUUCGAAAUAAUAAUGAAUCCAGAAUUUUGAUAAAACUUAGAAAAUUAAUAGAAAAUAAUCCAUAUGUCAGAUGAAAAAGUUUUAUACAUGAAAGUUGCUCAGAACGACGAGACAAAUUCGAAUACGCAGUCCGUUCAUCCGCCACACAUCCCUAGCAUAGUGAACACACAACUUUCUCUCUCCGGUUCAUCUGCCCGAAAGUGUGAAACACCGGGAAUAUUUUCCCGGAUGUCCCCCCCACCUUCGCCGGUAUCGCCUAUCCCUAUGUUAGGUCACCCCUAGCACACCGUAUUGUCGCGUCUUGCUUUGUGUUACAUUUGAUUGCUCUGUUAUUUAUUGUGUUCCCCCUCCGUUACUCCUUUCCGGUAGACUCCGUGACUGUUGUCGAUGUCCGUGUGUUCGACUACAUCGAAGAUGACCCCUCCUUCUUGCCAGAGCAACCAGGCAAGCAAACCCCCCUUGAGCAUUUCGAUAUCGCCCAUUUCUUUCCAUCUCAUGCUUGCAUUAGGACUGCUACUGCUUUAUGUAUGAUCCUACUCUGAUGCAUAGCUUGUUUUUGUUACCUGCUUUCAUACCUUACCUGCUUAUCCUAAACUGCUUAGUAUAGGUUCGUUAGAGAUCCAUCAGAGGCCCCCACCUUGUCCUAGUUUCCCCGCUUUAUGUUCGAUGACUCGAUCAACGUGAUCGACGUCCAGGCCCCGACACCGCACAUCACUUUCCCCUUUUGUUGCUCGACUCUGCAGAGUUACCAUCGAGUGCCGGGGGUGGAACCUCUUACAUCACUCCUGAUGAGAUCUUUGUAGUGUAGUUAUCCGGUCGUGGUUAUCGAGGGUGAUUUCCUCCUUAACUACUUCCGAUACGGCUCUGUCGUGCAACCCCUCAAGUGUGAACCUCGAGGGUGGAUCCUCUUACGUUCACCUUGAUGAUUACAUCGAGUGGAAUUCACCGGGGGUGAUUCCUCGGGUUUUCCCCUUGGUGUUCGACACACAGUUACUAUGGUUACUAUGACUUUGCACUGAGCCAUGUUACUAAAGACGGGUCGGCUCUGAGGGGUACCCGCGCGAGCUUAAUAGCGAGUGAUGUGGAGUCGGGUUGACCUGGAAGGUGCCCGCGAGAUACUUACGAGGUGUGGCCGGGCAUUCUUAGCCCUUGACGCAAGUACUCGAGACGGGGCGACGGGGUCACAUCGAUCGUGAGUCUAUGCUCGUUACCGCGUGCUCCUAAUCCACUACGGUUUGGAUAUUUGAUCCGAGGGGCCUCUGGCCUGAUAGCACUAACCAUCAUGUGGGCAUAGUAUGGGCGUUCUGCGUCGUAUACAUCAGCCGAAGCUUAAUAGACGUCAGCGACUGAGCGGCGCGCGCCGGGUUGGACUGGUAAGCACCUGCCUUUUUGAAGGAGGUAGCUAGGUCUGCUCACCGGCCGCGUACGCAACGUGCAGGAGUUCCUGAGGAGAUGGCCCAUGACCCCUAGGGCAUAGGCUUAGUCCGGCGUGCUGAACUCUCCAUUAAGCCUAGGUCGGGUUGCGGCGUAUUGUUUGGCCGAGGCCGGGCAUGACGGAGGAAAGUGUGUCCGACCGGAGUUAAUCGAGCGUGGUGGGUAAGUUGGUGCACCCCUGCAGGGAAGGAAACAUCUAUCGAUAGCCUGUCCUACGGUAACAGACACUUGGAGUUGUAUCCCGAUCGAUACAACUAGAACUGGAUACUUGAAUGAGAAAUGGAUUGUAUGGCUCUGGGAUUGCUUUCUCGCAGGGAGUCGAGAAAGGAUCUCUGGCCGAGGUUGAUAACACUACUACUACUUUACAUUAUGUCGAUCUAUACUCUUCUAUAUGCUGCAAGAUGCUUGAAGAUGCUUGAAGAUGCUAGUCUUCGAUAGGCUAGGCUUUCCCCUUCUUUCUAGCAUUCUGCAGUUUAGUCCACAGAUACAGCCCAUUUCCUUUGAUACAGAUGCAUACUUAGUUUAGAUCUGAUGUAAGUCUUGCGAGUACUUUGGAUGAGUACUCACAGUUGCUUUGCUACCUCUUUUUCCCCAUACCUGUUUGUUGCGACCAGAUGACGGAUCCCAGGAGCCAGACGACACCACUGAUGACUACUGCUACCCCAAGGAUGCCUACUACUACGUGUCGGCCGCUGAUGACUUGGAGUAGUUAGGAGGCUCCCAGGCAGGAGGCCUAUCCUUUUCGAUCGAUGUUGCUUUUGUGCUAGCCUUCUUAAGGCAAACUUGUUUAAAUCAUGUAUGUACUCAGAUAUUGUUGCUUCCGCUGACUCUUGUGUAUUCGAGCCCUCGAGGCCCCUGGCUUGUAAUAUAAAGCUUGUAUUAUUUUAAAUUUGUGUCUAGAGUUGUGUUGUG
rnacentral:lncRNA from 1 species